CCAAUAGCGUAUAUUAAAGUUGUUGCAGUUAAAAAGCUCGUAGUUGAAUUUUGGGGUCAGUAGGUUGGUCGUGCCACCGGUACGUACUGGUCUCACUGAUUCCUCCUUCCUGAUGAACUGUAAUGCCAUUAAUUUGGUGUUGCAGGGAAACUGGACUGUUACUUUGAAAAAAUUAGAGUUUUUAAAGCAGGCUAACGCUUGAAUACAUUAACAUGGAAUAAUGAAAUAGGACGUUCGAUCCUAUUUUGUUGGUUUCUAGGAUUGAGGUAAUGAUUAAUAGGGAUAGUUGGGGGCAUUAGUAUUCAAUUGUCAGAGGUGAAAUUCUUGGAUUUAUUGAAGACUAACUACUGCGAAAGCAUUUGCCAAGGAUGUUUUCAUUAAUCAAGAGCGAAAGUUAGGGGAUCGAAGACGAUCAGAUACCGUCGUAGUCUUAACCAUAAACUAUGCCGACUAGGGAUCGGAUGAUGUUAAUUUUUUAAUGACUCAUUCGGCGCCUUACG
rnacentral:rRNA from 1 species